ACGCUGGCGGCGUGCCUAAUACAUGCAAGUAGAACGCUGAAGGAGGAGCUUGCUUCUCUGGAUGAGUUGCGAACGGGUGAGUAACGCGUAGGUAACCUGCCUGGUAGCGGGGGAUAACUAUUGGAAACGAUAGCUAAUACCGCAUAAUAGUAGAUGUUGCAUGACAUUUGCUUAAAAGGUGCAAUUGCAUCACUACCAGAUGGACCUGCGUUGUAUUAGCUAGUUGGUGAGGUAACGGCUCACCAAGGCAACGAUACAUAGCCGACCUGAGAGGGUGAUCGGCCACACUGGGACUGAGACACGGCCCAGACUCCUACGGGAGGCAGCAGUAGGGAAUCUUCGGCAAUGGACGGAAGUCUGACCGAGCAACGCCGCGUGAGUGAAGAAGGUUUUCGGAUCGUAAAGCUCUGUUGUAAGAGAAGAACGAGUGUGAGAGUGGAAAGUUCACACUGUGACGGUAUCUUACCAGAAAGGGACGGCUAACUACGUGCCAGCAGCCGCGGUAAUACGUAGGUCCCGAGCGUUGUCCGGAUUUAUUGGGCGUAAAGCGAGCGCAGGCGGUUAGAUAAGUCUGAAGUUAAAGGCUGUGGCUUAACCAUAGUACGCUUUGGAAACUGUUUAACUUGAGUGCAAGAGGGGAGAGUGGAAUUCCAUGUGUAGCGGUGAAAUGCGUAGAUAUAUGGAGGAACACCGGUGGCGAAAGCGGCUCUCU
rnacentral:rRNA from 1 species